AUAAAAUAAGAGGGUGGAACCUUAAAUCCGCUCUCACUUACGCGGUCAAAGUCUUGGGAGGAUACGAUCCUGGCGCGCAUGUUCGCUGCCGCCGUUUGAAAAACGGAAACGGGUCGGACGCGUUUAGUUGCAAGGCGUACCUGCCUUGCUUUUUUUU
rnacentral:sRNA from 1 species